UACGUAGGGGGCAAGCGUUGUCCGGAUUUAUUGGGCGUAAAGAGCUCGUAGGUGGUUCGGUAAGUCGGAUGUGAAAUCUCCAGGCUCAACCUGGAGGGGUCAUUCGAUACUGCCGUGACUAGAGUUCGGUAGGGGAGCGUGGAAUUCCUGGUGUAGCGGUGAAAUGCGCAGAUAUCAGGAGGAACACCGGUGGCGAAGGCGGCGCUCUGGGCCGGAACUGACGCUGAGGAGCGAAAGCGUGGGGAGCGAACAGG
rnacentral:rRNA from 1 species